rnacentral:rRNA from 1 species
UACGUAGGGUGCAAGCGUUAAUCGGAAUUACUGGGCGUAAAGCGUGCGCAGGCGGUUUUGUAAGUCAGGUGUGAAAUCCCCGGGCUUAACCUGGGAACUGCAUUUGUGACUGCAUAGCUAGAGUACGGUAGAGGGGGAUGGAAUUCCGCGUGUAGCAGUGAAAUGCGUAGAUAUGCGGAGGAACACCGAUGGCGAAGGCAAGCCCCUGGACCUGUACUGACGCUCAUGCACGAAAGCGUGGGGAGCAAACAGG